ACGGGUGAGUAACACGUGGGUAACCUGCCCAUCAGAGGGGGAUAACAUUCGGAAACGGAUGCUAAAACCGCAUAGGUCUUCGAACCGCAUGGUUUGAAGAGGAAAAGAGGCGCAAGCUUCUGCUGAUGGAUGGACCCGCGGUGCAUUAGCUAGUUGGUGAGGUAACGGCUCACCAAGGCCGUGAUGCAUAGCCGACCUGAGAGGGUGAUCGGCCACAUUGGGACUGAGACACGGCCCAAACUCCUACGGGAGGCAGCAGUAGGGAAUCUUCGGCAAUGGACGGAAGUCUGACCGAGCAACGCCGCGUGAGUGAAGAAGGUUUUCGGAUCGUAAAGCUCUGUUGUAAGAGAAGAACGAGUGUGAGAGUGGAAAGUUCACACUGUGACGGUAUCUUACCAGAAAGGGACGGCUAACUACGUGCCAGCAGCCGCGGUAAUACGUAGGUCCCGAGCGUUGUCCGGAUUUAUUGGGCGUAAAGCGAGCGCAGGCGGUUUGAUAAGUCUGAAGUUAAAGGCUGUGGCUCAACCAUAGUUCGCUUUGGAAACUGUCAAACUUGAGUGCAGAAGGGGAGAGUGGAAUUCCAUGUGUAGCGGUGAAAUGCGUAGAUAUAUGGAGGAACACCGGUGGCGAAAGCGGCUCUCUGGCUUGUAACUGACGCUGAGGCUCGAAAGCGUGGGGAGCAAACAGGAUUAGAUACCCUGGUAGUCCACGCCGUAAAC
rnacentral:rRNA from 1 species